AUUGAACACUGGCGGCAGGCUUAACACAUGCAAGUCGAACGAGUGGCGGACGGGUGAGUAAUGCUUGGGAAUCUGGCUUAUGGAGGGGGAUAACUACGGGAAACUGUAGCUAAUACCGCGUACCAUAGGAUGAGCCCAAGUGGGAUUAGGUAGUGGGUGGGGUAAAGGCUCACCAAGCCGACGAUCUCUAGCUGGUCUGAGAGGAUGACCAGCUACACUGGGAAUGCGAAACGGCCCAGACUCCUACGGGAGGCAGCAGUGGGGAAUAUGGCGCAAUGGGGGCAACCUGACGCAGCCAUGCCGCGUGAAUGAAGAAGGCCGUCGGGUUGUAAAGUUCUUUCGGUAGCGAGGCGUUAACUACAGAAGAAGCACCGGCUAACUCCGUGCCAGCAGCCGCGGUAAUUC
rnacentral:rRNA from 1 species